GCAGCAAAGUGUCAGGAAAGGACCAGUGAAAGAGGGUCCCUGAGACAUGGCUAGAGAGGCCUACAGAGGCCUCACAGCAGUUCAAGCAGCCAAUCAGCACCCAGCAGGGUCAGAAAAAAGGAGCUGCAGGGCCUGAGAGAUCAAUCCCUGGUUGAGACUGGAGGGGCAGAGGAGGGUGCUCCUCUCUGGCCAAAGGAGCUUAAGGGAUAACCCAAGUUUGGUUCUGGCUGCAUUUGCUGGGUUUGCAGGCAGAGACAGGACCUAAGAAAUCUAACCUUAAGGUAAAGGGUGGAGCAAAAAGGGGCCAAGUAGGAAGUGGCCCAGGGAGAAAGCAGCAAUGAGCUGAAAUCAAGCCGUGUGUAGCAACUGUUUAUAGGGUCCCUGGGUUGGAACCCAGCAUAGAGGUGGGCCUGGGUUCCCCUACCAGUCACAGUGGCAUAAACCUCAAGAGUGAGGGGGGACAGGGCUUAUUUGAGAGUCCAAGCAAAGGACUGAAUUUAAAGGGCCUAAAGCUGGGGCUGAAGACCCUAGUGAGGGCAAGAGAACUGAUAAUUUAUUGGACUCUAUUACCCUGGAAUGCAUUCAUUUGGACUUUGUGACUUGGCUGGAGGGCCAAGCCACUGAAGACCUACCAGUGUCAGCUGGCAGCCUGCAGGGCACACCAGGAGUAUGAAAAAACCCUGCAAUACUACACCUAGCCACCAAAAGGCACUUAGAGAUAUAACAGUAGAAGUGGAUCUUGAGGAAAAUUUGAAGGACACAACAACAGUAUUCCAUAUAGUUUGGAAGAACGUGUGAAGGCAGUUGUGGAAGAAGAGGACAAACAGGCACUCAAGGCAAAGCCGAAUGACAGUGUUUAUUUUAUCACAUAAAAACAAGAUGCAGCUUCCCAUGUGCACUUUUUGAGGGGAGAGAAAGCCCUGCUAAAAGAGGUCUUCAGCAAAGGAAUGUGCCUUAAUUUGCAUUUAUGCAGUAAACAAGAUCAUCAAGCAGGAAGGGAAACAAAGGAAACUCAAACAGGUGAAGAAAAAAAGCAAGGAACAUCCUUCCACACAGAUUCAUUGUCUCUUGGUUCUCUGUUGGAAAUGUUUGGAAUGGGACUGGAACUAUAAAAAGCAGAGGCAAACACCUCAAGAUACUCCUCUCUCUCUCCCUACCCACCUCAUUUUCCAUACCCUGAAAAGACAAAAGGAAACAGGUGUUGAACUCUGGUGCAGGGAUCCCAAUCUGAAAGUCAGUAAUCUGCUAGAG